rnacentral:rRNA from 1 species
UAGUUUGAUCCUGACUCAGAACGAACGCUGGCGGCGUGCAUAACACAUGCAAGUCCAACGUGAAAGGGGAGCAAUCCCCCGGUAGGGUGGCAAACGGGUGAGUAAUACAUGGGUGAUCUACCUUAGGGAUGGGGAUAUCCUUCCGAAAGGAGGGGCAAUACCGAAUAUUGUCCGGAGCCGUGAAGGGUUCCGGGGAAAGGGAGGCCUCUGAUACAAGCUUUCGCCUUAAGAUGAGCCCAUGGCCCAUCAGCUAGUUGGUAGGGUAAAGGCCUACCAAGGCUACGACGGGUCGCUGGUCUGAGAGGACGACCAGCCACACUGGCACUGAGAUACGGGCCAGACUCCUACGGGAGGCAGCAGUGAGGAAUAUUGCGCAAUGGGGGAAACCCUGACGCAGCAACGCCGCGUGUGGGAAGAAGGCCUUCGGGUCGUAAACCACUUUUGCACGGGACGAAAAAGGGAUAUCGAACAAAUAUCCCCGAUGACGGUACCGUGAGAAUAAGCCACGGCUAACUCUGUGCCAGCAGCCGCGGUAAGACAGAGGUGGCAAGCGUUGUUCGGAAUUACUGGGCGUAAAGAGUCUGUAGGUGGUUUGUCAAGUCUUUGGUGAAAGGCCGUAGCUUAACUAUGGGAAUGCCAAAGAGACUGGCAGGCUGGAGGCUGGGAGAGGGAAGCGGAAUUUCUGGUGUAGCGGUGAAAUGCGUAGAUAUCAGAAGGAAGGCCGGUGGCGAAGGCGGCUUCCUGGAACAGUCCUGACACU